UACAGUGCUACUGGCCCAUAAUCAGGCAACUGCAGAGUCUUAGGGGGUUAUCUAAUGUAGUCUUGGGGUGGCUGGAUAGACUUCCCAAAGAAGGUGAUGCCGAAGCUGAGGUCGGAAAUUACGAAGAUCAGCUAUGAAGGCCUGAGGAGAGAAGACACAUAGUCAUGCUGACUAAACCAGAUCACCUAGAAUUACCAAAUGGAAAGAUUGUGCCUGCAGCCUGGCCUGUUGCCCACAGCGGUCUACCUGCCACACUGGGAAAGAUCGAGCAGAGACAGAGAAGAAAAGGAGGCUCCAUUUUUCAGGCUGCUCUCCCGCAGGCUCAUGUUUUGUGUUCAUGCCAGGCAGAGAACACAAAAUGUUCCAAUAAAUAAGUAUCAAAGGUUAGUGGUGAAAAUGAAGGAGGAGGAGGCAUUGCGUGAAAAACUAAACAUGCAAAAUAUUACACACAAAGAGAACCAAAAUGCAGGUUCACUGGAAAUGAUAGACAAUAUGUUAAAACAAGAGGAGAGAAGAGAGCUGAAAUAAUCAAAUGGAAACACACAAUUUAGGGCUAAGAUCUUGUUGUGUUCAGCCACAAAUGAUGGCCAGCAGUGAGGAAUCUGUGUGUUCUCCACACUCUUCGCUCCUGGGAAGUCAACUCACAUGGACCAUGAUAUCAAUAUCUGCUCCUUCCCCUAAUAUCUGUUUGACCUUGGGUCAGUUACUUAAACUUCCUAAGCCUUAGUUUCUUUGUCUGGAAAAUAGGGAUAGUUAUACCUACCACACAACCACUUUGUAAUGAAUAUGUUGGAAAUUAUAUGCAAAUUGGCUUCCGUUGGUGUUUGGAACAUAGUAGGUUUUUAACUGGAAUAUAAUAGCUACCAUUAUCAGUAUCAUCAUAUUAAUUUAUAUUUCCAUCUUCAGCCCUUAACCCAGGAUCUUCAGUAAAUGUUGAAUUCUCAAAUUUGUUAAAUUCACUUGUCUAUACUAAUAUUUUACUCUAGGUUUCUUAGAAUAUUCUAGAUAAUAUUAUUAUGUAGAAUAUGUUAUGUAAGCUUCAUCUUAUCUGUAAAUAUAGUUUUACUUUUUCCUUUCUAAUUUUUAUGUCGAUUACUUCUUUUUCUUGGCUUAUUGAAUUGGCUAGGAUUCCCGUACAGUGUUGAAUACGUGCAGCAAGACUGCACAUCUUGCCUUGUUCCUGGUCCCACAGAGAGAAUAUCCAGUACUUCACAAUAAGUAUGUGUUAAUUGUAGAUUUUAUUAGAUUGAGGAAGUUCCCUUUCCUUUCAAGUCAGUCUUUUUAUUUUAAACAUGUAUUGAAGUUUUGUCAAAUGUCUUCAUCUAUUGGAAUAAUUAUACAUAUCUCUUUUUUAUUCUGUUAAUAUUACAUUUCAAUCUUCUGUCUACCUAAAAUCCCUAGAAUAAUCUCCAUUUGGCUAUGAUGUGUUGUGCUUUUAUAUAUUACUGAAUUCUAUAUGCCAAUAUUAUUAAAAUUUUCUGUCUUUAUGAGAAAUA
rnacentral:lncRNA from 1 species